CCUACGGGUGGCAGCAGUGAGGAAUAUUGGUCAAUGGGCGCGAGCCUGAACCAGCCAAGUAGCGUGAAGGAUGACUGCCCUACGGGUUGUAAACUUCUUUUAUAAAGGAAUAAAGUGAAGCACGUGUGCAUUUUUGUAUGUACUUUAUGAAUAAGGAUCGGCUAACUCCGUGACAGCAGCCGCGGUAAUACGGAGGAUCCGAGCGUUAUCCGGAUUUAUUGGGUUUAAAGGGAGCGUAGAUGGGUUGUUAAGUCAGUUGUGAAAGUUUGCGGCUCAACCGUAAAAUUGCAAUUGAUACUGGCAGCCUUGAGUACAGUUGAGGUAGGCGGAAUUCGUGGUGUAGCGGUGAAAUGCUGAGAUAUCACGAAGAACUCCGAUGGCGAAGGCAGCUUACUAAACUGCCACUGACAUUGAUGCUCGAAAGUGUGGGUAUCAAACAGGAUUAGAUACCCGUGUAGUC
rnacentral:rRNA from 1 species